rnacentral:rRNA from 1 species
GAUGAACGCUGGCGGCGUGCCUAAUACAUGCAAGUCGAGCGAACAGACGAGGAGCUUGCUCCUCUGAUGUUAGCGGCGGACGGGUGAGUAACACGUGGAUAACCUACCUAUAAGACUGGGAUAACUUCGGGAAACCGGAGCUAAUACCGGAUAACAUGUUGAACCGCAUGGUUCAACAGUGAAAGACGGUCUUGCUGUCACUUAUAGAUGGAUCCGCGCCGCAUUAGCUAGUUGGUAAGGUAACGGCUUACCAAGGCAACGAUGCGUAGCCGACCUGAGAGGGUGAUCGCCCACACUGGAACUGAGACACGGUCCAGACUCCUACGGGAGGCAGCAGUAGGGAAUCUUCCGCAAUGGGCGAAAGCCUGACGGAGCAACGCCGCGUGAGUGAAGAAGGUCUUCGGAUCGUAAAACUCUGUUAUUAGGGAAGAACAAAUGUGUAAGUAACUAUGCACGUCUUGACGGUACCUAAUCAGAAAGCCACGGCUAACUACGUG